rnacentral:lncRNA from 1 species
UCCUGUUGUGAACUGAAAAUCAGUUACCCCCUUCCCCUCCCACUCUGUUGAAUCCUCAGACCCAGCCCUUGGUUCCUCAGGGCCGUGGCACUGGGCAGAGUUGGCAGCCUCGUCUGGGAAACCGGAGGCGGCUGCUGACGCUAGAGGUAACGCGGGAUGCUGGUGCAACACAAGCCUGCUGCUCAGCAGAGAAAACGCCCAAGACGUUGGCGUGUGUCUGUCUGCAUGACUCACUGGAGGAGCUGUCUCUCUGGGAGGAAGUCGGGAGCCGCCUCUCAGAAUUCCAUUUAGUAUGACAAGAACUAGCUCUAUACUCAUCUGCAGCAAGAAUCAUGCCAAGAAGGCGAGUCAGCCAAAGUGAGGAAAUUACAGGACUUCCAUUUUUGGACAAGAAGGUACCGUGACAGCAAUUUUAACUACGUGACAUUGAAUAAAAAUGUAUUUCAA